UUUUUUUCAAACUUUUUCUGAUAAGUUACCUUUUUCUCAUUUUUAAGUAAAAGAAGUUAGUUGCUUAUUUCCAAUUUCGACCAACAAAACAAGUUAUUUAUCUUAAAAACUUACUUAUUUACUUAGAAGUGGACUUUGUAAAGCUUAGCCAAACUUAUCUACUAAUUUGUAAUAUAAGGCAGAGUAAAAAUACAAGCCUAUGACUUGUCUCGUGGAAUUACUAGUACCUAUACGACCAUUCUAACUUUCUUUUCAAGGUCUAGUUUUAUUUCACAUUCUAUGGCAGAUUCACCACCAUCGCAAGUCUAAGUUGGUUUCUAUUCAUAUAAAGACUGUUAGAUAAUCCAUGCUCAUGCUCGUUCUCAGCAAUCUUGCACAAGAAAAAUAUAGAUGCAUUGAAGAUAGCUAAUCGACUAGUUGCCAUUCCAAAAUACAAGGAAUCAAGUAGCUAUAUACACAAGGAAAAAAGUGACAAAAUACUUGAUUGGUACAGUCAAGUGUUAAAUUUUCUUAGUGCUUCUCACAAUUAACUUACCGCCUAAAAUACUCGCAACGCCAAGUUACUAGAAUUCCUCAAUCAAUUAAGAAAAGAAAACUAAGCAUUUGCAGUUCUUCUAUCUAGUAGAAACAGAAAACUUUGACUAGUAUACCAUUCAUUUAGCCAAGUUUCUAUCUGAGAUUUCUUUAAAUACAAUUUUCCUUUUUAUAAAAAGUAAAUUAGAGUCAGUUGCCAUUAGUGUCACCUAAGCAAGCCUUUGUAUACCCAAUAGAAUUCAUUUGUGUAUAUGUCAAUCAAAUUCCUCUGCUAAAUCCACUCUGGCAUUAACAUAAACACCUUUGAUUUAACAAUAAAUUCCACUGUGGCAUGGUCAUUUAUAUAAUACAGUACCUUCUAGUUGCAUACCUAGUUGAGAUUCAACUUUUUAAUAUCAUUGAAGUUAGCUUUUUUUGUAGCCUCAAGCAAAGCUAAAACACCAACAAAGCAUUAGUUACAUUGUUAUUUAUCCAUACAGGUAUAAAAUGGAGUGCAGUUAUACUUUGAAUAAAUUGUCGAUCCUGUAUAAUUAAGAAAAUCCACAGCCCUAAAAGAAGCAAUAUGUCAAUAAUCAACCCUAAGGCUUUACCCACUUCUUUGAAUUGAAUGUAUUCAUUUCUGUGUCAAUAGACUAACUGACUAAGUAUUAUUUUCAGACACGUCUAGUUUAUAUCAGUCUAGAACUGAUAAUCGUUCAAGUUCAGUUGAUUAACUAGGUCAUUAUGAGCACAGGGUUAAAAAGAGGAGCUGAGAAAAUCAAAAUUCUCCAAGUGCAUAAAACAAACAAUUAUUUAUUAAAAAAAAAAA
rnacentral:lncRNA from 1 species